rnacentral:rRNA from 1 species
UACGUAGGGUGCAAGCGUUAAUCGGAAUUACUGGGCGUAUAGCGUGCGCAGGCGGUUUUGUAAGUCUGUCGUGAAAUCCCCGGGCUCAACCUGGGAAUUGCGAUGGAGACUGCAAGGCUAGAAUCUGGCAGAGGGGGGUAUAAUUCCACGUGUAGCAGUGAAAUGCGUAGAGAUGUGGAGGAACACCGAUGGCGAAGGCAGCCCCCUGGGUCAAGAUUGACGCUCAUGCACGAAAGCGUGGGGAGCAAACAGG